AGUGCUGGGGCGACCCCUCCCCACUGUAUAGUGCUGCGGUGGAACUCUAGCCAACCACUCCCCGCUCUAUAGUGCUGGGGGCGACGCUCUAGCCCGCCCCACCCAGCUGCACCGCAGCGCCGAGGACAGGGUCGGAGCGCCGCAGGCUCCUUCCUUCCGGUCAGUGGCGGAAGUGUCUGGCGGGAGGGGCUGGUUGCCGUGGCAACGCUGGGCUGUUUACGAGCGGGCCGGGGCUGGCGCGCAGCCCCGGUUCGGUCGAUGAAUGUGGAGGGCUGUCCUGCUUGCUGGCAGGGACGGGCUGCACGCUUGAGUGGAGGUGCCGGAGUAUGAAGCGAAAGGCCCCUGCGGCGAUGCGUAGAAAGCCAAUGAGCUUUUGAUCUCUCGAGUCAUCGCUCGCAAAAGGCUUCAGUGUAUCGAGACGUCUGCAGUGACUCAAAGGAUUUAAAAGAAGAGACUUUUAAAAGUGCAGCUGAUUUCACGUAAAAGUCCCAAACUGGGAACUUAGGUUGCAGGGCAGAAACAGCAAUGAAUCGCUGCUAUGUUCGAUUAGUUUCUAACGCUGGAAUAAAGUGUG
rnacentral:lncRNA from 1 species